rnacentral:rRNA from 1 species
UACGGGGGGGGCAAGCGUUGUUCGGAAUUACUGGGCGUAAAGGGCUCGUCGGCGGCCAACUAAGUCGGAUGUGAAAUCCCCAGGCUUAACCUGGGAACUGCAUCCGAUACUGGAUGGCUUGAAUCCGGGAGAGGGAUGCAGAAUUCCAGGUGUAGCGGUGAAAUGCGUAGAUAUCUGGAGGAAUACCGGUGGCGAAGGCGGCAUCCUGGACCGGCAUUGACGCUGAGUGGGCGAAAGCCAGGGGAGCAAACGGG